rnacentral:lncRNA from 1 species
AUCGGUCGGCUACGGGACGGGGCCGAGAGCAGCAGUAGGAGAAGCGAUAAGCCCUUCAAUCUACUCCUCAAAGCAGGAAUGGAGGGCCGCUUUCUUAAUAAUUCAAAUAGAUAGUUCUGCUCACAUCAAGGGAACCUCUUCAUUAACUGAGAAGCUCAUUGGCUCGCCUUUGACUCUAGCCUCUCAUUUAAUUCGCUACUUCGUCAACUUCUCAGUCCCUCGUGAGUGUGGCAC